rnacentral:rRNA from 1 species
GACGAACGCUGGCGGCGUGCCUAACACAUGCAAGUCGAACGGACGAGGGGAGCUUGCUCCCUGAGUUAGUGGCGAACAGGUGAGUAACGCGUGAGCAGUCUGCCUUUCAGUGGGGGACAACAGUUGGAAACGACUGCUAAUACCGCAUAAUAUCGUACGAGGGCAUCCUUGAACGACCAAAGCGUUAUGUGCUGAAAGAUGAGCUCGCGUCAGAUUAGAUAGUUGGUGGGGUAACGGCCUACCAAGUCGACGAUCAGUAGCCGGACUGAGAGGUUGAACGGCCACAUUGGGACUGAGAUACGGCCCAGACUCCUACGGGAGGCAGCAGUGGGGAAUAUUGGGCAAUGGGGGAAACCCUGACCCAGCAACGCCGCGUGAAGGAAGAAGGCUUUCGGGUUGUAAACUUCUUUUACCAGGGACGAAGAAAUGACGGUACCUGGAGAAAAAGCCACGGCUAACUACGUGCCAGCAGCCGCGGUAAUAC